rnacentral:rRNA from 1 species
GAUGAACGCUGGCGGCGUGCUUAACACAUGCAAGUCGAACGAUGAAGCCCAGCUUGCUGGGUGGAUUAGUGGCGAACGGGUGAGUAACACGUGAGUAACCUGCCCUUAACUCUGGGAUAAGCCUGGGAAACUGGGUCUAAUACCGGAUAGGAGCGCCUACCGCAUGGUGGGUGUUGGAAAGAUUUAUCGGUUUUGGAUGGACUCGCGGCCUAUCAGCUUGUUGGUGAGGUAAUGGCUCACCAAGGCGACGACGGGUAGCCGGCCUGAGAGGGUGACCGGCCACACUGGGACUGAGACACGGCCCAGACUCCUACGGGAGGCAGCAGUGGGGAAUAUUGCACAAUGAGCGAAAGCCUGAUGCAGCGACGCCGCGUGAGGGAUAACGGCCUUCGGGUUGUAAACCUCUUUCAGUAGGGAAGAAGCGAAAGUGACGGUACCUGCAGAAGAAGCACCGGCUAACUACGUG